rnacentral:rRNA from 1 species
UGAGGAAUCUUGCGCAAUGGGGGCAACCCUGACGCAGCAACGCCGCGUGAGUGAAGAAGGCCUUCGGGUCGUAAAGCUCUGUCGGGUGGGAAGAAAUGCAUGUAGGCCAAUACCCUGCAUGCUUGACGGUACCGCCAAAGGAAGCACCGGCUAACUCCGUGCCAGCAGCCGCGGUAAUACGGGGGGUGCAAGCGUUGUUCGGAAUUAUUGGGCGUAAAGAGCGUGUAGGCGGCAAGAUAAGUCAGAUGUGAAAGCCCUGGGCUCAACUCAGGAAGUGCAUUUGAUACUGUCUAGCUCGAGUACUGGAGAGGGAAGAGGAAUUCCUGGUGUAGAGGUGAAAUUCGUAGAUAUCAGGAGGAACACCGGUGGCGAAGGCGACUUCCUGGCCAGAUACUGACGCUGAGACGCGAGAGCGUGGGGAGCAAACAGG